rnacentral:rRNA from 1 species
GCGUCGAAAGAGAACCGUAACGACAGGUGCUGCAUGGCUGUCGUCAGCUCGUGUCGUGAGAUGUUGGGUUAAGUCCCGCAACGAGCGCAACCCUUGUCAUUAGUUGCUACAUUCAGUUGGGCACUCUAAUGAGACUGCCGGUGACAAACCGGAGGAAGGUGGGAUGACGUCAAGUCCUCAUGGCCCUUAUAGGUGGGGCUACACACGUCAUACAAUGGAUGGUACAAAGGGUCGCCAACCCGCGAGGGGGAGCCAAUCCCAUAAAGCCAGUCGUAGUCCGGAUCGUAGUCUGCAACUCGACUACGUGAAGUCGGAAUCGCUAGUAAUCGUGGAUCAGAAUGUCACGGUGAAUACGUUCCCGGGUCUU